GAUGAACGCUGGCGGCGUGCCUAAUACAUGCAAGUCGAGCGAACGGACGAGAAGCUUGCUUUUCUGAUGUUAGCGGCGGACGGGUGAGUAACACGUGGAUAACCUACCUAUAAGACUGGGAUAACUUCGGGAAACCGGAGCUAAUACCGGAUAAUAUUUUGAACCGCAUGGUUCAAAAGUGAAAGACGGUCUUGCUGUCACUUAUAGAUGGAUCCGCGCUGCAUUAGCUAGUUGGUAAGGUAACGGCUUACCGAGGCAACGAUGCAUAGCCGACCUGAGAGGGUGAUCGGCCACACUGGAACUGAGACACGGUCCAGACUCCUACGGGAGGCAGCAGUAGGGAAUCUUCCGCAAAGGGCGAAAGCCUGACGGAGCAACGCCGCGUGAGUGAUGAAGGUCUUCGGAUCGUAAAACUCUGUUAUUAGGGAAGAACAUAUGUGUAAGUAACUGUGCACAUCUUGACGGUACCUAAUCAGAAAGCCACGGCUAACUACGUG
rnacentral:rRNA from 1 species